CUACGGGCCGCUGCAGUGGGGAAUCUUAGACAAUGGGCGCAAGCCUGAUCUAGCCAUGCCGCGUGAGUGACGAAGGCCUUAGGGUCGUAAAGCUCUUUCGCUGGGGAAGAUAAUGACGGUACCCAGUAAAGAAACCCCGGCUAACUCUGUGCCAGCAGCCGCGGUAAUACGGAGGGGGUUAGCGUUGUUCGGAAUUACUGGGCGUAAAGCGCGCGUAGGCGGAUCAGAAAGUUGGGGGUGAAAUCCCAGGGCUCAACCCUGGAACUGCCCUCAAAACUCCUGGUCUUGAGUUCGAGAGAGGUGAGUGGAAUUCCGAGUGUAGAGGUGAAAUUCGUAGAUAUUCGGAGGAACACCAGUGGCGAAGGCGGCUCACUGGCUCGAUACUGACGCUGAGGUGCGAAAGCGUGGGGAGCAAACAGGAUUAGAUACCCCCGUAGUC
rnacentral:rRNA from 1 species